rnacentral:rRNA from 1 species
ACUCAAAUGAAUUGACGGGGGCCCGCACAAGCGGUGGAGCAUGUGGUUUAAUUCGAUGCAACGCGAAGAACCUUACCUGGUCUUGACAUCCACAGAACUUUCCAGAGAUGGAUUGGUGCCUUCGGGAACUGUGAGACAGGUGCUGCAUGGCUGUCGUCAGCUCGUGUUGUGAAAUGUUGGGUUAAGUCCCGCAACGAGCGCAACCCUUAUCCUUUGUUGCCAGCGGUCCGGCCGGGAACUCAAAGGAGACUGCCAGUGAUAAACUGGAGGAAGGUGGGGAUGACGUCAAGUCAUCAUGGCCCUUACGACCAGGGCUACACACGUGCUACAAUGGCAUAUACAAAGAGAAGCGACCUCGCGAGAGCAAGCGGACCUCAUAAAGUAUGUCGUAGUCCGGAUUGGAGUCUGCAACUCGACUCCAUGAAGUCGGAAUCGCUAGUAAUCGUGGAUCAGAAUGCCACGGUGAAUACGUUCCCGGGCCUUGUACACACCGCCCGUCACACCAUGGGAGUGGGUUGCAAAAGAAGUAGGUAGCUUAACCUUCGGGAGGGCGCUUACCACUUUGUGAUUCAUGACUGGGGUGAAGUCGUAACAAGGUAACCGUAGGGGAACCUGCGGUUGGAUCACCUCCUUACCUGAAAGAAGC